rnacentral:rRNA from 1 species
AGACGGAGGGGGCAAGCGUUGUUCGGAAUCAUUGGGCGUAAAGCGCGCGUAGGCGGUCGGGUCAGUCGGGCGUGAAAGCCCAGGGCUCAACCCUGGAAGGGCGCUCGAUGCUGCUCGACUUGAGUACGGGAGAGGAGAGUGGAAUUCCCAGUGUAGCGGUGAAAUGCGUAGAUAUUGGGAGGAACACCGGUGGCGAAGGCGGCUCUCUGGACCGUUACUGACGCUGAGGCGCGAAAGCUAGGGGAGCAAACGGGAUUAGAAACCCGGGUAGUCC